rnacentral:rRNA from 1 species
GCUAAACGCGAAGAACCUUACCAAGGCUUGACAUAUACCGUUUAUCCCUAGAGAUAGGGAGUCCUUCGGGGCGGUAUACAGGUGGUGCAUGGUUGUCGUCAGCUCGUGUCGUGAGAUGUUGGGUUAAGUCCCGCAACGAGCGCAACCCUCGUUCUAUGUUGCCAGCACGUAAUGGUGGGGACUCAUAGGAGACUGCCGGGGUCAACUCGGAGGAAGGUGGGGAUGACGUCAAAUCAUCAUGCCCCUUAUGUCUUGGGCUUCACGCAUGCUACAAUGGCCGGUACAAAGGGCUGCAAUACCGUAAGGUGGAGCGAAUCCCAAAAAGCCGGUCUCAGUUCGGAUUGAGGUCUGCAACUCGACCUCAUGAAGUCGGAGUCGCUAGUAAUCGCAGAUCAGCAACGCUGCGGUGAAUACGUUCCCGGGUCUUGUACACACCG